GGGGCAGGCCUGCCGGCAUUGGGGCGUCCCCCGCGCGGGGGGAGGGAAAGCCGCCAGCAUCAGGGCGGGCCCCGUGCAGCAUCGGGGCGGCCCCU